UGAUAGGGGUUGAUGUGUUAAUAAUCACCUAACCUAGACCUUGAAUCUACACCCCCUAACCUUCUAAAUCGUCGACCCAUAACCCAUAAUCCUUCCCAUAAUCCUUAGAAAUUCGACCAAGCGCGGGUAAACAACGAGAGUAACUAUGACUAUCUUAAGGUAGCCAUAUGCCUCGUCAUCUAAUUAGUGACGCACAUGAAUGGAUCAUUAACGAGAUUCCCCACUAUCCCUAGCUACUAUAUUCUAGAGAAACCACAUCCAAGGGAUUGGGCUUGGCAGAAUUAGCUAGGAAAGAAGACCAUGUUGAGCUUGACUCUAGUCCUAACCCAUUCAUAGUUUGGGAAAAUUAAGGCAUAGUUUGGGAAAAUUAGACCAUAACAUUUGU
rnacentral:ncRNA from 1 species